rnacentral:lncRNA from 1 species
GGAGCACGGAUGUGAAAGCUGCUGCAAACAGCAAAGAACAGGUUUAAACAGAAGCAAGAGACUCUAAAAUGGAACUUGGCAUUCACCCCCCCUCCCCCCUUCCCGCUCUGGAAUUUGUGCCAAUUUGUAAUCCGUGCGAGUGAGUCUGUGCCUCACCAUGCCUAGCUGGAGCUGGUAAUUAGGUGCGGUGGUGGCUCCUGCCUUUGCCCUCUGAUGACUUUUCUUUAAUUGCUCUAAUCUGUGUUUUCACGCACUCGCUGGAAAAUGAGAAGAGCCGCCAGCUCCACGGAGGAGGGGAGGUUUCAUGUCCUCUGUGAUUGCAGCCCUCGGCUCCAGCAUUGGAAGCACAGCAGAAAAUCAGAUUUUUGGUCUGGAUCCAAAACAGAAAUAUGACACCCCAUAUACGGUCAGUGUGUAUGUGUUUCUCUAAAAGAAUCACUUAACCUAAUUUUCUGAGCAUCAACUCCAAAUGCCAUGUAGACCAAGUGGAAAAAAAAAAAAAUUCACCCAAGUACAAAGGGGAGCUCUUGCUCUUCACCUUAAACAGCCCAUGAAGCUUUUUAGCAAUUGACGGGUUCCUCUCCCUCUCGCUGCUCUGUUCUCUAAGCCCGCAGGAAGGAAGAUCUCCUGGAAAAAUGUCCUUGUGGUGUUAGGGCGAGGACGGUGGGGUCAUGGGGAUGUGAGCCUCGGCUGACAACUCAGGAGAAAGGGACACUUGUCGGUGGCCUCUGAGGACCGCUCCCAGGCACUGCUAAAGAUCACAGGGUCUGGGAUAGGGUAGGGGUCCAGGCAGCUGCAAACGCCUGCACAUCAU